rnacentral:rRNA from 1 species
GAUGAACGCUGGCGGCGUGCCUAAUACAUGCAAGUCGAGCGAACGGACGAGAAGCUUGCUUCUCUGAUGUUAGCGGCGGACGGGUGAGUAACACGUGGAUAACCUACCUAUAAGACUGGGAUAACUUCGGGAAACCGGAGCUAAUACCGGAUAAUAUUUUGAACCGCAUGGUUCAAAAGUGAAAGACGGUCUUGCUGUCACUUAUAGAUGGAUCCGCGCUGCAUUAGCUAGUUGGUAAGGUAACGGCUUACCAAGGCAACGAUGCAUAGCCGACCUGAGAGGGUGAUCGGCCACAUUGGAACUGAGACACGGUCAAGAUUCCUACGGGAGGCAGCAGUAGGGAAUCUUCCGCAAUGGGCGAAAGCCUGACGGAGCAACGCCGCGUGAGUGAUGAAGGUCUUCGGAUCGUAAAACUCUGUUAUUAGGGAAGAACAUAUGUGUAAGUAACUGUGCACAUCUUGACGGUACCUAAUCAGAAAGCCACGGCUAACUACGUG